UAUAACAUUUUUUCAUUUUAUUGAAAAAUAUUUAUUAUAUUUAUUUCUAUAUAUUUUUUUAUUAAGGGAAAGGGAAUGUGUUUUAUGUUUUGGAAAUAUCUAGAAUUCCACUGUGAAAGAGAAGAGAGUAUUUAUUUACACAAACAUUAUUAUUACACAACUUUAUUAUUAUUACUAUGAACUAAAACUUUUCCUCUUUACAAUUUAUUCUUGUUUAUUUCAUUCGCGAUCUUGUAGUAAUCUGCAAAUUAUAACAAUAUAUAUAAACAAUCUUAUCUAUAAUAAUUAUUAGUGAUUCAUCAUCAAAUAAUUUGCUCAUAUUAAAUUUUCAACAGUUCGAGUAUUUUCAAUAAUUUGAUAAUAAUUUUAUGAAUGGUUUUCUUAACGCUUUAAUUUAAAUAAAGAUACGACUUCUUCAAAUCACACUUCAAAUCACAUGUCAUGCGAUAGACCAUAUGGAAGUGAAAGAUCUUGACUUGACGCGAAAGUCUAUCUUUUGAAACCAUCCUCUGCAAUGAUUGGUCUCUUCCCUCUCAGUGUUCAUUUUUCCCAAAAAAAGAUUUUUUUCCCAAAAAAAACCAAGGAUUGCGACAAUCUUCCAGUUGAGUUAGAAUAGAAAUAAAAAAUAGAUAGAAUUCAGAGACGAUACGAUUUACAUCAAAAAGAUUAGAAUCAUUAUAAUUAAUCGCAAAGAGUUAAAGUACGAUUUGUUCACUCACCAUUUAUUCACUCAAAGCUCAUAAUAUAAACAAAUAUAUAAUCCUAUGAUGGUAUGGUCUUUCGAACAAUAGCAUCAAUUUAGGCAUAUCAUUUGUACAAUAUUUAAAGUCUUUACUUUUCGACUUUAAUAUUUGGUCCUUUGAGUCGGAUACAGUCAGAUACUGUCAAAGAGUGAAUAUUUAAAAUGAGCUUCAGUAGUCAAUGAAUAGUAGUGAACAGCAAGAAUCCUUAUUAUCAAGAAAGUUUUCAGUAUCAGAGAAUUGUCAGUACGUUUCUAAUUCGAUUUCAAAGGAAAGUCAACGCAGUCAUUAGAGCGGGAAGUUGUAUCGAGCUCCCGAUCCAGUAACAUCCAGCAUUCUAACUGCAAUCAAUUUCAUCAAUCUAAUCUCCCAUUUAAUUCCGGUAAGCAAAUUUUUGUUCUUACGUUAGCAGAGAUGGAAGUUCAAUUAAAAUCAUUAAUCAAUGAGUGUCGUUCAAUCAAGACUUAUUGACGGUGUUUAAAAAAAUUUUCAAAGAAUGCAAACAGUCAGUUAUGCUUAUGGAAAUCAAAAAACAUAAUAUAGCUCUUUAUACGAUAAAUAUAAUAAAAGUAUAAAAGAAAUUAUUUGAAGAGACCGAAUCAGAAUUAUUACACAUAACUCAUCUUGUCAAGUUUGAAAACGCGUAUUUCAAUAUAAUAUUCACAGUAGAAGAUUUUAUAGAAGAUACGCGUAUAAAAAAGAAAAAAUAAGUAUUCCUUCAUUAGGAUCCAUCACUCUCCUCUUUUAUAUCCAGCAGUAGUCUUCAGCAAUUUUAUCCCAAAUAAACUUGCCAAUUUUUGAUGGAUUUUUUAAGGAUUGGAUUAAUUUCAGAGAUAUGUUUGUUUCAUUAGUUCAGAAUAAUAAAUUUUUAUCAGACUUACAAAGAUUUCAUUAUUUGCAGGUAAUGUUAAAGGAACAUGCUGUUCGCACAAUCCUUAGGCGUAUCCGAAGUAAAUUACAGGGUAAUUUGAGAGAGUUUACAAACUCAAUAUGAAAAAAUUGUGAAUCUUCCUAUUUACUGAAAAAAUGCCAGCGAUCAAAAACAGAUCUUCCAUCACUUUAAAAAAAUUGAUUGACGCAAAAAAUCAUCGCAUACUAGAGAAAUUAAAAUCCUUGUGGAAUACUAUAAUUUUAGUAAUUCUUACAAGAAAAUUCAAUAACGCAUUAACUUUAGCACGCAAUCCUACAUUUAAAGAUUUUUACGAAUUCUUAGAAACACAGGUUAUAUAUUUGGAAAUUUCUCGACAACAUCAGCAGCAACAUCCAAUCUUCCAAUGCGCCGAAAUGAGCAACGGCGCAUGGUCAAUAUCUCUGUCGUGUUCGACUUGUUCAUGCAAGCAUUCUUUGUCACAAUACAAAGAAUUUAAAGAGUCAAACGAUAUAUUAUAGACGAAGAAACAAAAAUUGUAUCUGGAUAUCGCGUGAAAAAAUAUAUGCGCCCAGUUUGUAAGAUAUGUGGGUGCAAAUAUCACAUGUUAUUACAUCAAGAUGAAAUAGAAAAACUCAAGCCUUCUUCUACGGAAAGUCUUGAGCCAGGAAAGAAUAGUUCAACAAAGGAUAGAACAUCAGCUUCAUCUAUGUCACAAAUGUUGCGAUCUAUUGCUUCUCCAAAGAAAUAUGCCAUAUUGUCAACUACGGUUUUUGUGAAGAAUAGUCAAGGAAAAAAAACAGAAAUAUCGAGUUCUAUUAGAUUCAGACUUUCAAUGUAAUUUUAUUAUCUAGGAGUUAUGUAAGAGAUUGAAAAUAAAAUGUAUACAAAUGAAAUUGAAUUUCGAAUAUCAGAGAUUAAUUCAGUAUCAAGAGAAACGGUUAUUAAUAUUAUCCGGAUAUAACAAUUUUAGCAUCAACAUCUCUUGUCUGACUAUAGAUAAAAUCACUAUAGCUUUGUCAAAUUUCUCAUUAGCGAAGAAAAAUUUAGAAAUACCGCCACACAUCAAUUCAAUGUGUAAAAAAUAGAUAUGCUAGUCGGGACAGACACAUUCUGAGUAUUUUUAUGUGUAGAUCAACACGAGAUAGAUUUUCGCAAAAGACUUAACUUGGUACUUAACUUGGUUGGAUAGCCGGCGGCUAUCAGAUAUUCACAACCCAUAAUCCGAUUCAUGUUGGAUGUUAUUUGGCUAUAAAUAGUGAUUUAGACAAACAGUUUGUCAAAUUUUGGGAAAUAGAGGAGAUCCACGAAAUUCGUGCAAGGAAAAAUUAUUGUAAAACUCACUUCUCGGAAAACACGCAAUAGACGACAAACGUUACAUAGUUAAUUAUACUGUUUCGAAAUAACAUAUUUCAGUUAGGCGAUUAGCGGGAACAAGCGGAAAAGCGACUAUAUUCACUUGAAAAAAAAUUAUCCAAACAAUUGGCAUUGUAAAUGCAAUAUCAUGAUUUCAUGGCAAAAAGAUUAGGGUACAUUAUUCGAUUAACUGCUCUUCAAUAUGAAGAAAGUCAUUCAUAUUACUUGCCCACGCCGUCUCCAAGAUUAACAAUAUGAAAGUUCAUGUCAUGUUCGAUGGAUCAGCAAAAACCUCAUCAGAUCUAUCUUAUCACUGAAUAAUAUUCAGUAGAACCGACUUUCAGGACGAUUUAUUUUCUAUUUUAUUUUGAUUUCGCCUGCACAAAUAUGUUAUGUCAGCAAAUAUAGAAAAGAUGUAUGAGAUUUAUUAGAAAUUGGCGAAUAAAGACAUUCAAUAAAUUUUCGAAAAAUCAACGAGAAUUUGGAAAUUUGAUCACUAUCGAGUUAAUGCGAGUUAAUUUCGCAAGAGCUUAGAACAUUUCAGUCAUGAAGAAACUUUUUCAUAGUUAAUGUGCCUAAAAACAUGCAAACCGUUAUCAAAAUUCACCAAAUUAUUUCUAUUAUAUAUAUUUUUAGGAUGAAAUUAUAAGAGUAGAUGACAGAUUACGAAAUAUUGUACAUUUUCGGAAAAAACUGUAGUAUUAUUCUUUAAGCAUCCAUUUACAAAAAUCAUAAUAAGGAACUAGUAUAUUAGAUUAUUAUAUGCAGGAUGCUAACAAACAGUAACGUUGUUGCGAGAGCGAUAUUGGCUCAUAGGCUGAAAAUCCUAUAUAACGAUAAGGAAAAUUAUACGAAAAUGUAUAAAAUAUUUUAAGACAAAGUCACGAUCCUUACGAUGCGUAUUAGAUCAGUUACGGAUCGAGUAACGUUGGCCAUUUUCUACCUGCGGUCUUGACUAUAAAAGUCAAGUCCAACACGCGAGAGAACUCAUAGCAAGAUUAUAAUGAAAUUCUAUUUAUACAUUUUCGUAUGUUUUAUCAUGAAAGCUAUAUCUAGAAUUAAUCGAAUCUCUCCACUGAGGUCUUUUUGAAUUGUUUGCGUAGAUUUAUAACUCGCAGAGAAUUAUGCCGGACAAUAUUCAGAUAACAAAACAAAUUUCAAACAUACGAAAUGAGCUUCACGAAUUAGGCGUACUUUUGAAGAACAAGGAAUAUAAUACAAAGAUUAGAAAGAUAAAUUAUAGAAUGGCAUCUGAAUCCUCCGUAUUACAUUUCGGUAGGUUAUGGGAGAAUGCGAUUAAGACCACCAAAUAUCUUCUGCGGCAUAUCAUUGGUGAACAGAAAUUGACAUUUGAAGAGUUAUAUAUUCUGGUAACACAAAUAAACUUUCAACCUAUCACUCUUUCGUCAUCCGAUUCAAACGACCUGAAUCCUUUGACUCCAGAUCAUUUUCUAAUCGACGUGUGUUGACCGAAUAACGAAGAAUGAUUUGCGAAAAGUCAAAGUGAAUUGUCUCGAUAUCAGUUAAUUUAAUAAAUGUUUCAGCACUUUUGGAAAUGCUGGAGGAAAGAAUAUUCAGCAGAGGAACAAAUGGCACAAAUCGAUCGCUCUGCAAAAACGAUUUGAUGAUAUUAUACGCACGGCCACUGUAAAAACCAUCAGCGGCAUCAUUAAAUGGCCAGAUGAAGCAUCUUGCCUAUACAUGACGACAUCAUCGAAUCGAAGCAACGAUCAAGGAGAAGUGGAUGAUACUUCGUCUCAUCUGUAUGACAGAGAGGCAUGGGCUUAUAGACAUUUUGCAAAGUUAAUGAGCUAAUAUUAUUAACAUAUAUUAGAGACUUGUAAUCGCCAAUGAUCAAGUCAAACAAUUAAGGAUAGAGCUUGAAGCGAGAUUUUUAAUUUAAACAAAGAUAACACAGCAAUGGCCAGUUCAUAUCAUGCGAUGGACUACCGUGGAAAUGAAUGCAAAGGUUCUGAUUCCUACGAUUGUGACACGACUACGCGAGAGCAUUUUUCGAAAUUGCUCUCCAACGCGAUUAGUUUCUUCAAUUCUCUCUCAGUGUGCAUUUUUCCCAAAAAGCAAGGAUUGCUGGAAAAAUCAAGGCUCGUGACAGUUUUGCAAUUGACUUAGAAUAGAAAUAGAAAACUAUACAGAUAGAAUUCAGAGACGAUACGAUUUACAUCAAAAAGGCUAAAAUCAUUACAAUCGCAAAAAGUUAAAAUAUCACUAAUUCACUCAAAACUUAUAAACGAAUAUAUAUAGUUCUACGGUAGUAGGUCGUUUAAGCAGUAGCAUUAAUUUAAGCACUCCAUUUGUGCAAUAUCCAAAAUCGUUCAGCCUUUCGACUUUAACACAUUAUAUAGAUUCUUCUAAACAUUAGUAUAUUAAGAAAAUGUUUUAUAGAUGUGACAUAUUCAUGAAAUAUAAACUAAUAUAUUCUCUAUUAUAUGCUUUUAAUGUUUUAUGAGAAAAGAAUAUAAUUUAUCUAAUAGAUAGAUUAUCAAUUCUAAACUCAUAUUGUAUUCGUUUUGAAAUGAUCACACAAAAAUAAGAAAUGUUAUAAUGUUUGUUUUUAUGUAUUUUUUUAUUUAAUGCAUAUAUUUGCAUGUGUAUUGUAUUUAUGUGUGGCAUAUAUGUUAU